UACGUAGGGUGCGAGCGUUAAUCGGAAUUACUGGGCGUAAAGCGUGCGCAGGCGGCUCGUUAAGACAGGUGUGAAAGCCCCGAGCUUAACUUGGGAAUUGCGCUUGUGACUGGCGUGCUGGAGUGUGGCAGAGGGAGGUGGAAUUCCACGUGUAGCAGUGAAAUGCGUAGAGAUGUGGAGGAACACCGAUGGCGAAGGCAGCCUCCUGGGCCAGCACUGACGCUCAUGCACGAAAGCGUGGGGAGCAAACAGG
rnacentral:rRNA from 1 species